AUGUGUGUUGAACGAAACUGGGUUUGUUAAAUCACUAAAGGAUUGUCAGAAGGGGUGUUUGAUGCAUGUUUUGGGUAAAAAUGAUGUAAAUGCUAUUUGCCAACAGGGUAUGGGAAAGGUUUAAUUUUGCGUUUUGUUCUAUCACUUCCGUGUUCAAGCCGCCAUGUAAAAUGUAGUGCGUUCCCAUCAUGCUUAGAGCGGUUUCACACAGGUCAGUACACAAUGCAGAUGUAAACGAAACAAAAUGAAGCAUUGUUAUUUGUUAUUCACAACCUUUGUGUUUUUUAUUGUAAUGUUGGAACUAGUGGAUGCAUGGAGGGGGAAUUAUCAAUCAGUAAGGCGGAGUAGAUAAAAAUGUGAAAUACUGUGCAUGCUGGUACUGGUGGUGGGGAUGUUCAUACUGGAGAUAUUACUGGAGAACUAUUUACUAUACUGAAUAUAUUUGUAGACCUGGAUAUACACACAAUGGAGACCGAAACUGUAACAUACCUGUAUGUCGUCCGACGUGCCAGAAUGGCGGAACUUGCACAAGUCCAAACUACUGCGACUGUCCUUCAUGGUCUCGAGGAGUAGGAUGCGCUUCAUUGACAUGUUCUUAUAGACAGCCCUGUUACCCUGGAGACUGCACUAGUGGUACCGAAUGUACAUGUGAACCUGGCUUCAUAAAACAAAGUCAAUAUGAUGGUUGUUUAGGAUUUGAUUCUACACGUGAAGAGCUUCGUCCAGUUGUCGGUAAGAGUAACGUAACAUUGUCUCAUAUCAGAAGAAUUGAUGGUCAAGUUGAUUUUAUGUUCAUAUUAGAGGGACUGGAGGAGAAAGAGGCGGGGAAAAAAGAAAUUAUUUGGUGCAACCAGAAGCGAUUCAAUAAUCUCUAUUUCGA